rnacentral:rRNA from 1 species
GACGAACGCUGGCGGCGUGCCUAAUACAUGCAAGUAGGACGCUGAAGGAGGAGCUUGCUUCUCUGGAUGAGUUGCGAACGGGUGAGUAACGCGUAGGUAACCUGCCUGGUAGCGGGGGAUAACUAUUGGAAACGAUAGCUAAUACCGCAUAAUAGUAGAUGUUGCAUGACAUUUGCUUAAAAGGUGCAAUUGCAUCACUACCAGAUGGACCUGCGUUGUAUUAGCUAGUUGGUGGGGUAACGGCUCACCAAGGCGACGAUACAUAGCCGACCUGAGAGGGUGAUCGGCCACACUGGGACUGAGACACGGCCCAGACUCCUACGGGAGGCAGCAGUAGGGAAUCUUCGGCAAUGGACGGAAGUCUGACCGAGCAACGCCGCGUGAGUGAAGAAGGUUUUCGGAUCGUAAAGCUCUGUUGUAAGAGAAGAACGAGUGUGAGAGUGGAAAGUUCGCACUGUGACGGUAUCUUACCAGAAAGGGACGGCUAACUACGUG